CUACGGGGUGCUGCAGUGGGGAAUAUUGCACAAUGGGGGGAACCCUGAUGCAGCAACGCCGCGUGGAGGAUGACACAUUUCGGUGCGUAAACUCCUUUUAUAUAAGAAGAUAAUGACGGUAUUAUAUGAAUAAGCACCGGCUAACUCCGUGCCAGCAGCCGCGUUAAUACGGGGGGUGCAAGCGUUACUCGGAAUCACUGGGCGUAAAGAGCAUGUAGGCGGGUAGAAAAGUUGGAAGUGAAAUCCUAUGGCUUAACCAUAGAACUGCUUCCAAAACUCUUUACCUAGAAUAUGGGAGAGGUAGAUGGAAUUUCUGGUGUAGGGGUAAAAUCCGUAGAGAUCAGAAGGAAUACCGAUUGCGAAGGCGAUCUACUGGAACAUUAUUGACGCUCAGAUGCGAAAGCGUGGGGAGCAAACAGGAUUAGAUACCCCGGUAGUC
rnacentral:rRNA from 1 species